AUUGAACGCUGGCGGCAUGCUUUACACAUGCAAGUCGAACGGUAACAGGCCUUCGGGUGCUGACGAGUGGCGAACGGGUGAGUAAUGCAUCGGAACGUACCCAGAGGUGGGGGAUAACGCAGCGCAAGCUGUGCUAAUACCGCAUGUGAUCUGAGGAUGAAAGCGGGGGACCGAGCAGCAAUGUUUGGCCUCGCGCCUUUGGAGCGGCCGAUGUCGGAUUAGCUAGUUGGUGGGGUAAAGGCCUACCAAGGCGACGAUCCGUAGCUGGUCUGAGAGGACGACCGGCCACACUGGGACUGAGACACGGCCCAGACUCCUACGGGAGGCAGCAGUGGGGAAUUUUGGACAAUGGGCGCAAGCCUGAUCCAGCAAUGCCGCGUGCGGGAAGAAGGCCUUCGGGUUGUAAACCGCUUUUGGCAGGAACGAAACGGUGUCCGCUAAUACCGGGCGAUAAUGACGGUACCUGCAGAAUAAGCACCGGCUAACUACGUG
rnacentral:rRNA from 1 species